rnacentral:rRNA from 1 species
UGGGGAAUUUUGGACAAUGGGCGAAAGCCUGAUCCAGCAAUGCCGCGUGUGUGAAGAAGGCCUUCGGGUUGUAAAGCACUUUUGUCCGGAAAGAAAUCCUUGGCUCUAAUACAGUCGGGGGAUGACGGUACCGGAAGAAUAAGCACCGGCUAACUACGUGCCAGCAGCCGCGGUAAUACGUAGGGUGCAAGCGUUAAUCGGAAUUACUGGGCGUAAAGCGUGCGCAGGCGGUUUGCUAAGACCGAUGUGAAAUCCCCGGGCUCAACCUGGGAACUGCAUUGGUGACUGGCAGGCUAGAGUAUGGCAGAGGGGGGUAGAACUUCCACGUGUAGCAGUGAAAUGCGUAGAGAUGUGGAGGAAUACCGAUGGCGAAGGCAGCCCCCUGGGCCAAUACUGACGCUCAUGCACGAAAGCGUGGGGAGCAAACAGGAUUAGAUACCCUGGUAGUCCACGCCCUAAACGAUGUCAGCUAGUUGUUGGGGAUUCAUUUCCUUAGUAACGUAGCUAACGCGUGAAGCUGACCGCCUGGGGAGUACGGUCGCAAGAUUAAAACUUAAAUGAAUUGACGGGGUCAUAGCUGUUUCCU